rnacentral:rRNA from 1 species
UGGGGAAUAUUGGACAAUGGGCGCAAGCCUGAUCCAGCAAUGCCGCGUGUGUGAAGAAGGCCUUCGGGUUGUAAAGCACUUUUAUCAGGAGCGAAACGCUGUCGGCUAAUACCCGGCGGAACUGACGGUACCUGAGGAAUAAGCACCGGCUAACUUCGUGCCAGCAGCCGCGGUAAUACGAAGGGUGCAAGCGUUAAUCGGAAUUACUGGGCGUAAAGCGUGCGUAGGCGGUUUCUUAAGUCUGCUGUGAAAUCCCCGGGCUCAACCUGGGAAUGGCAGUGGAUACUGGGAGGCUAGAGUGUGUCAGAGGGUGGUGGAAUUCCCGGUGUAGCGGUGAAAUGCGUAGAGAUCGGGAGGAACAUCAGUGGCGAAGGCGGCCACCUGGGACAACACUGACGCUGAGGCACGAAAGCGUGGGGAGCAAACAGGAUUAGAUACCCUGGUAGUCCACGCCCUAAAGCGAUGCGAACUGGAUGUUGGUCUCAACUCGGAGAUCAGUGUCGAAGCUAACGCGUUAAGUUCGCCGCCUGGGGAGUACGGUCGCAAGAUUAAAACUCAAAGGAAUUGACGGGGUCAUAGCUGUUUCC